rnacentral:rRNA from 1 species
GACGAACCGUGCGAACGUUGUUCGGAAUCACUGGGCUUAAAGGGCGCGUAGGCGGGCCGGACGGUCCGGGGUGAAAUCCCCCCGCUCAACGGGGGAACGGCCCCGGACACCGCCGGCCUCGAGGGGGGUAGGGGCGAGCGGAACGCUGGGUGGAGCGGUGAAAUGCGUUGAUAUCCAGCGGAACUCCGGUGGCGAAGGCGGCUCGCUGGACCCCUUCUGACGCUGAGGCGCGAAAGCCAGGGGAG